AGAGCGAACGCUGGCGGCAGGCCUAAUACAUGCAAGUCGAACGGAUCCUUCGGGAUUAGUGGCGGACGGGUGAGUAACACGUGGGAACGUGCCCUUUGGUUCGGAACAACUCAGGGAAACUUGAGCUAAUACCGAAUGUGCCCUUCGGGGGAAAGAUUUAUCGCCAUUGGAGCGGCCCGCGUCUGAUUAGCUAGUUGGUGGGGUAAAGGCCCACCAAGGCGACGAUCAGUAGCUGGUCUGAGAGGAUGAUCAGCCACACUGGGACUGAGACACGGCCCAGACUCCUACGGGAGGCAGCAGUAGGGAAUCUGCGCAAUGGGCGAAAGCCUGACGCAGCCAUGCCGCGUGAAUGAUGAAGGUCUUAGGAUUGUAAAAUUCUUUCAGCGGGGACGAUAAUGACGGUACCCGCAGAAGAAGCCCGGCUAACUUCGCGCCAGCAGCCGC
rnacentral:rRNA from 1 species